rnacentral:misc_RNA from 1 species
GAUGAAGAACGUAGCGAAAUGCGAUAAGUAAUGUGAAUUGCAGAAUUCAGUGAAUCAUCGAGUCUUUGAACGCACAUUGCGCCCCCUGGUAUUCCGGGGGGCAUGCCUGUCCGAGCGUCAUUGCCGCCCUCAAGCACGGCUUGUCUGUUGGGCCCCCGCCCCCCGGCUUCGGGGGGCGGGCCCGAAAGGCAGCGGCGGCACCGCGUCCGGUCCUCGAGCGUAUGGGGCUUCGUCACCCGCUCUGUAGGCCCGGCCGGCGCCCGCCGGCGACCCCAAUCAAUCUUUCCAGGUUGACCUCGGAUCAGGUAGGGAUACCCGCUGAACUUAAGCAUAUCAAUAAGCGGAGGA